GAUAUUUUGAGUUAGGGUUAUGAUUUUUGUUUUCCCUAUCACUGUACUGUAAUUUUAGGCAUUUUUCCUUAGAACGCGAUUUUUAGAUCUUUUCUUUUUGUUUCUCAAUUUUGUUGUUAUUGGUUGACUGUUGGUAUGUUUUGGUUACUGCAUGAAUUCAUUAUCUUGGUUGGUUGUGCCCUAUAGUUGCUGCGGAAGUGAAUGCUUCGGUGGAAGAAUUUGUUGCCAUUUGUACAUAAUUUGCACCUAAACUUAGGGUUUUGAAUUUUAUUUUGGCUAUUCAUUGUUUUUGUCCGCCCUCUACUUCAAUUUCAUUUCUUUGUUUUGUUGUUUAGAUGGUGUGAAGCAAACUCAAACUAAGUUGAGUUUGGUUUAAGCUCCUUUGGUUUGUGGUAUUUUAGGUAUCAAAAAGUGAUGCUGUGAUAAUUUGUUGAUUAGGGACUUUGCUUUGUUGUUUCUUACCCGUGUUGGUUUUAGUUAGAUUGUGGACAUUAAUGUUUCUGUUUCCAUUUUGGAUGAGUCCAGGUCUUGUCGUUCUGAUGACGGUGCUGGUUUAAGAAUUGAAA
rnacentral:misc_RNA from 1 species